rnacentral:rRNA from 1 species
CCUACGGGUGGCAGCAGUGAGGAAUAUUGCUCAAUGGGCGGGAGCCUGAACCAGCAACGCCGCGUGAGCGAUGAAGGCCCUACGGGCUGUAAGCUCUUUCCUCAAGGGAGAUAGUGACGGUACUUGAGGAGGAGUCCCCGUCUAACUACGUGCCAGCUGCCGCGGUAAUACGUCGGGAGCUAGCGUGAUACGGAAUUAGUGGGCGUAAAGGGUGCGUAGUUGGUUUCUUAAGUCAGAGGUGAAAGGCUACGGCUCAACCGUAGUAAGCCUUUGACACUGGGGAACUUGAGUGCGGGAGGGGUGGGUGGAAUUACUGGUGUAGCGGUGAAAUGCGUAGAUAUUAGGAGGAACACCAGUUGCGAAGGCGGCUUUCUGGCGUGCAACUGACACUGAGGCACGAAAGCGUGGGUAGCGAACAGGAGUAGAUACCCGAGUAGUC